UUUAAAAUAAUUUUAGUUUAUAAUAAAUAAGAUAUAUAUCUUUACUAUAGGAGAUAAAAAAAACUUAUUUUGUUCAUGUAAAAAAACUCCUCCCAUGAAAACUUUAUGCUUAUAAAUUGUCCAAACUCACAAUAAAAUAUUAGAUAAGAUUGCUUCAAGGAAGAGAGAGAGAGGGGGCGCAUGUUAGCAAGGCUAGCUAAUCUGCGCGUUCAGCCAUGGCUAGACACAGGAAGAAGACUCAAGUGACAAUGGAUGCAAAGGAUGAAGAUAGUAGAAUAGUAACACCUGCACUCAAUCAACCUACUCGCUGGUUAACAGGUACGGGAUCGGCAAGAUGCAAAGGAUGACGAUAGUAUAAUAGUAACACCUGCACUCAAUCAACCUACUCGCUGGUUAACAGGUAUGGGAUCAACACCUACAAUUUUUCAUAAACCAGCUAGGGAUGAUAGAAACAAUGGAACGAUAAUAACACCAGAGACAUGAAUUCAACAUAAAUUGCACUCGGUAACUUUUGGAAGCUUUUUACCACAAAAAUUUCAACCAAUUAGUGAGGGAAUUGAUGAAGGUGAGGAGCAAAAUCUGGUGAUGGACAAUGCAGAAUCACAACAAGUCCACCGGCGACUCCAAUUCUCAGCACAAGAUAAUCCAGGUCAGAUCUGGCAGGAUUUGGGAGGUUCAAAGGGAGUUGAAGGCAAAAGAGAAUCCAUGUAGAAGAAUCGAAGCUCUCAAAGGAGGAAACCACUAUGUUAUGUACCACCUGCUAUGCGGGAUGGUACAUUUGUAGUACAAAUUAAAGAGGAGGAUACAAAGUAACAAGAAGCAUACGGGAGCAAUGCACUGGUGGGUUUUGUGCUUGGAGAAGACCCGUAUGAGCGAACAAUGGAUAACUACAUUACAAACGUGUGGAAUUUUGUUGAAAAACCUCAAAUG
rnacentral:lncRNA from 1 species